rnacentral:rRNA from 1 species
CCGGCGCACGGGUGAGUAACACGUAUGCAAUCCACCUGUAACAGGGGGAUAACCCGGAGAAAUCCGGACUAAUACCCCAUAAUAUGGGCGCUCCGCAUGGAGAGUUCAUUAAAGAGAGCAAUUUUGGUUACAGACGAGCAUGCGCUCCAUUAGCCAGUUGGCGGGGUAACGGCCCACCUAGUCAACGAUGGAUAGGGGUUCUGAGAGGAAGGUCCCCCACAUUGGAACUGAGACACGGUCCAA